rnacentral:rRNA from 1 species
UUGGCCUCAAAUCAGGUAGGACUACCCGCUGAACUUAAGCAUAUC